CAGCCUUGGGAGGAGGAGUGGGCAGUGCCUAAUGCCUUGGGGUCAGAGGCAAAGGCUCCACACAUGGGGAAAAAAGGCAUCAGGACAAAGCCAAAACUCAGCAUGAAAUGAUUAGAGCUUUGUCAGGACCUCAAAAAGAGUAUUUCAUGAAGUCAUUCAGAGCUCUGGGGCUGGGAUUAGAACGUUCUUCUAACCACACUGUCCUCGGCUGGACUCCCAAGAGGAAGUGGCUGGGUCCCUGGGGGAAAGGACACAGGCCUCCAUUCAAGGCCGGACCACAGAAAGAGCAAGGCCAGCUCGAGCAGGAGUGCCAUUUCCUCCGGCUGUGGACCAGGUCCAGAGGCUGCGCCUGGCUCUGCUGCGUCAAUAGUCCUGUGUCCUUGGUGAAGGACAGCCUCCCUGCCCUGGGCCUCCCUCUUCCUCAGCCCUCUGCACCUGCCUGCAGUCACCCUGAGGCACAGGAAGUCCCUCCUUCAGUCUCUAACAUCUGAGAAGGCCGCCUUGUCUGCCUCCCCUCAAAUCCAAGCCUUGGGGGGCCAUAAUCAGGGCCACUUCCCCAUGCCACCCACCUCAGUGAACACGUAGAAAUGCAAGAGCCGGGCAUUCCCUGAGCACCAGCAGAGAACGUCUCCCCAUCAGGGGCAUGGACUGAGCUGGGACAGAAGGCAGCAGGACUUGGGGAGCCCUGUCGGGUGGGGUCAGCAGCCCCAGUCAGUUGCCACCUGGCCCGCUUUGGGAGAUGUGGAGAAUGAAUUUCAUGGUGCUCUCCCAUGGGCCACAGCGCCGAGACAGCUGCAGGAGGUGACACAGCUGGUGUUGCCCCCCACCCAUGGAGAAAUGCCACCCCCCAGGAGGGGGUCACUUGUGGUUCCAAGGGCCGUGGGAAAGUACCUUUCAGCUGAACUGUGCUUUACUUUUUAGUCCUGUGGAACCCAGGGCCUCAAAUAUGCUGGAUAAACGCUCUCCCAUGAGCCACAACCCCCACCCCCUCCAUUUCUGAGGGCACAAGUUGGCUUCCAUUGAAGUAAAACCCCAUAGCAACUUAUCCAGUGGCUCAAACAGCAGGGUCACCUAGGAUGUUUACUUUAAAAUAAAAAUUAAGAAAAAUAAAGACUAUUCAAUC